rnacentral:rRNA from 1 species
UACGUAGGGUGCGAGCGUUGUCCGGAAUUAUUGGGCGUAAAGAGCUCGUAGGCGGCUUGUCGCGUCGUCCGUGAAAACUUGGGGCUCAACCCCAAGCCUGCGGUCGAUACGGGCAGGCUAGAGUUCGGUAGGGGAGACUGGAAUUCCUGGUGUAGCGGUGAAAUGCGCAGAUAUCAGGAGGAACACCGGUGGCGAAGGCGGGUCUCUGGGCCGAUACUGACGCUGAGGAGCGAAAGCGUGGGGAGCGAACAGG